rnacentral:rRNA from 1 species
UGCAAGUCGAACGAGUGCCUUCGGGUGCUAGUGGCGCACGGGUGCGUAACGCGUGGGAAUCUGCCCUUAGGUUCGGAAUAACAGCUGGAAACGGCUGCUAAUACCGGAUGAUGACGAAAGUCCAAAGAUUUAUCGCCUGAGGAUGAGCCCGCGUUGGAUUAGGUAGUUGGUGGGGUAAAGGCCUACCAAGCCGACGAUCCAUAGCUGGUCUGAGAGGAUGAUCAGCCACACUGGGACUGAGACACGGCCCAGACUCCUACGGGAGGCAGCAGUGGGGAAUAUUGGACAAUGGGCGCAAGCCUGAUCCAGCAAUGCCGCGUGAGUGAUGAAGGCCCUAGGGUUGUAAAGCUCUUUUACCCGGGAAGAUAAUGACUGUACCGGGAGAAUAAGCCCCGGCUAACUCCGUGCCAGCAGCCGCGGUAAUACGGAGGGGGCUAGCGUUGUUCGGAAUUACUGGGCGUAAAGCGCACGUAGGCGGCUUUGUAAGUCAGAGGUGAAAGCCUGGAGCUCAACUCCAGAACUGCCUUUGAGACUGCAUCGCUUGAAUCCAGGAGAGGUCAGUGGAAUUCCGAGUGUAGAGGUGAAAUUCGUAGAUAU